rnacentral:rRNA from 1 species
AGUCUUUGAACGCAAGUUGCGCCCUAAGCCUUCCGGCCGAGGGCACGUCUGCCUGGGUGUCACGCGUCGUCGCCCCCCGCAUCCCACGAUGUUGCGACGGUGGGCGGAUAUUGGCCUCCCGUGUGCCCGCGUGCGCGGUUGGCCUAAAUUCGGACCCUCGGGGACGCUCCCCGCGACGAUCGGUGGCGUUCGAAAUGGAACCUAGUGAUCCCGUCGCAUGGCCGCGUUCUUCCGAUAGAAGGGCUCCUCGACCCUCGAGGGCGGGCGAAGGCCCGCUCGUUUCGCGACCCCAGGUCAGGCGGGAUCACCCGCUGAGUUUAAGCAUAUCAAUAAGCGGAGGAAAAGAAACUUACCAGGAUUCCCCUAGUAACGGCGAGCGAACCGGGAAGAGCCC